rnacentral:rRNA from 1 species
GAUGAACGCUGGCGGCGUGCCUAAUACAUGCCAGUCGAGCGAACGGACGAGAAGCUUGCUUCUCUGAUGUUAGCGGCGGACGGGUGAGUAACACGUGGAUAACCUCCCUAUAAGACUGGGAUAACUUCGGGAAACCGGAGCUAAUACCGGAUGAUAUUUUGAACCGCAUGGUUCAAAAGUGAAAGACGGUCUUGCUGUCACUUAUAGAUGGAUCCGCGCUGCAUUAGCUAGUUGGUAAGGUAACGGCUUACCAAGGCAACGAUGCAUAGCCGACCUGAGAGGGUGAUCGGCAACACUGGAACUGAGACACGGUCCAGACUCCUACGGGAGGCAGCAGUAGGGAAUCUUCCGCAAUGGGCGAAAGCCUGACGGAGCAACGCCGCGUGAGUGAUGAAGGUCUUCGGAUCGUAAAACUCUGUUAUUAGGGAAGAACAUAUGUGUAAGUAACUGUGCACAUCUUGACGGUACCUAAUCAGAAAGCCACGGCUAACUACGUG